AUUGAACGCUGGCGGCAGGCUUAACACAUGCAAGUCGAGCGGGGUGAUGGUGCUUGCACUAUCACUUAGCGGCGGACGGGUGAGUAAUGCUUAGGAAUCUGCCUAUUAGUGGGGGACAACAUCUCGAAAGGGAUGCUAAUACCGCAUACGUCCUACGGGAGAAAGCAGGGGAUCACUUGUGACCUUGCGCUAAUAGAUGAGCCUAAGUCGGAUUAGCUAGUUGGUGGGGUAAAGGCCUACCAAGGCGACGAUCUGUAGCGGGUCUGAGAGGAUGAUACGCCACACUGGGACUGAGACACGGCCCAGACUCCUACGGGAGGCAGCAGUGGGGAAUAUUGGACAAUGGGGGGAACCCUGAUCCAGCCAUGCCACGUGUGUGAAGAAGGCCUUAUGGUUGUAAAGCACUUUAAGCGAGGAGGAGGCUCUUUUGGUUAAUACCCAGAAUGAGUGGACGUUACUCGCAGAAUAAGCACCGGCUAACUCUGUGCCAGCAGCCGCGGUAA
rnacentral:rRNA from 1 species